GAUGAACGCUAGCGGCAGGCUUAACACAAGCAAGUCGAGGGGUAUAGUAGCAAUACUAGAGACCGGCAAACGGGUGCGGAACACGUACGCAACAUACCCGCUACAGGGGCAUAGCCCGAAGAAAUUCGGAUUAACACCCCAUAGUAUAGCUGAGAGGCACCUCUCUACUAUUAAAAAUUUAUUGGUAGCGGAUUGGCGUG
rnacentral:rRNA from 1 species